GGGGCGAACGGAAAAUGUGUGAAGGAUUUACUUUGUUUGUCGAGUUUCUCCCGGUGAAGUGGUUUGUAGCGAAGCAGAUCAUGUCAGCAGCCAGAAGACAUGGAGGUCAUCCGUUCUGAAGCCGAAGCCGCUCAUGACGACACUGUGCAGGACGCAGAGGAGGCUAAGAUCUGCACUGCCAUGCUAUGGAGCAUCCAGGAGGCCGUUCAGAGACAGACGCUGCAGAUCGGGGUGUCAGCGUGCGGAGCCACAGCGGUAGUGGACGUCCUGCAGGCACUGGGCAUCACAGUGACUCCAGAGAUGGUGAACCACAGCGUGAGGACGAGACUGAGGAGGAACGAGGCGCCGCUGCCUGAUUACCUGCAUUCUCGCAGCAUGGCUGGAGCCACACACCUGCAGCUGAUCUCCGGGGCUGAUCAGGCCAGUGGUGGCCGCGUCAUGGGACGCUUCUUUGGCCUGUAUCCGCGGCGGAGGGUGAAACUGGUGCCAUGGUUGGGACGCUGGAUUCUGCGCGGAGCUGUUCCUGUAGCCACCAUGAACAUGCAGCGGGCCGUUCCUGAAGGAGAAGAGAUUCCAGACGCCUGGCAUCACCAGCUCAUCUUCGGAGUCGGACCCAGUGCUGUAUUCAUGACCAACCCGUUGGACGUGGUAAGUGAAGAGGAGGUUCAUGAGCGUCUGUGCAGCGAGUCUGUGCUUCUCAUUCGCCGUGAGGAUGUUCUGAAGAGACUGACGCCAGGCAUUCAUCUAUCACAGAUCUCAGAUCAGCAUCCUGAUCUGCGCUGGAAAACAUUAAAUGUGGAGGGUCAAGUUAGACAGAUGGUCAGCGAGGAAGAGCAGAAUGAUGAAGACCAGGCUAAGAUGACACAUCUUGUGAUUCCAGCAGCGUACAGCUCUGGAGUGACUUUCUUCGCUCUUAGAGACUCUGAUGUUGGGCAAGAGCUUCUCAGCAGCCCAGAUCUGCCUCUGCUGUAA
ensembl:lncRNA